rnacentral:rRNA from 1 species
UUCCGGUUGAUCCCGCCGGACCCGACUGCUAUCGGAUUGGGACUAAGCCAUGCGAGUCAACUCGCAAGAGUGGCGCACGGCUCAGUAACACGUAGUCAAUCUACCCUGAGGACGGGGAUAACCCCGGGAAACUGGGGAUAAACCCCGAUAGGUCAUAGCUUCUGGAAUGGGCUAUGGCUCAAAUCUAUAUGGCCUUAGGAUGGGACUGCGUCCGUUCAGGUUGUUGGUGGGGUAAUGGCCCACCAAGCCUAUAACCGGUACGGGCUCUGAGAGGAGGAGCCCGGAGAUGGGCACUGGGACAAGGGCCCUGGUCCUAUGGGGCGCAGCAGGCGCGAAACCUCCGCAAUGGGCGAAAGCCCGACGGGGUCAGUCCGAGUGGCUCCUGCUAAAGGAGUCUUUUGUCAGCUGUAAACAGGCUGGUGAAUAAGGGUGGGCAAGCCUGGUGUCAGCCGCCGCGGUAAUACCAGCACCCCGAGUGGUCGGGAUGAUUAUUGGGCCUAAAGCAUCCGUAACCNGUGUAGUAAGUCCUCCGUUAAGUUCCACCUGGCUCAACAGGUGUGGCUGCGGAAGAUACUGCUACACUAGGAAGCGGGAAAAGCGAAGGGUAUUCCACGGGUAGGGGUAAAAUCCUCUGAUUCCGUGGAGGACCACCAGUGGCGAAAGCGUCUCGCCAGAACGCGCUCGAAGGUAGGGAUGAAAGCUGGGUGGAGCAAACCGGAUUUAGAUACCCGGGUAGUCCCAGCCGUAAACAUGAUAUAUGCUCGGUGAUUGACUGGCUCCGAGCCA